GGCGCAGUUGCUUAGUCUGCCCACUGGGUUAGUACUUUGCUGACUGUGCCUUACCUUCUAGGACGCAGUGUUCCCUUUGCGGGGUGUGCUGAUGCUCUAGGACGUUUACCUUGAGAAAAUUAGAGUGUUUAAGGCAGGCUUACGCUUGAAUACAUUAGCAUGGAAUAAUAGAAUAGGACUUUGGUUCUAUUUUGUUGGUUUCUAGGACUGAAGUA
rnacentral:rRNA from 1 species